rnacentral:rRNA from 1 species
GAUGAACGCUGGCGGCGUGCCUAAUACAUGCAAGUCGAGCGAACGGACGAGAAGCUUGCUUCUCUGAUGUUAGCGGCGGACGGGUGAGUAACACGUGGAUAACCUACCUAUAAGACUGGGAUAACUUCGGGAAACCGGAGCUAAUACCGGAUGAUAUUUUGAACCGCAUGGUUCAAAAGUGAAAGACGGUCUUGCUGUCACUUAUAGAUGGAUCCGCGCUGCAUUAGCUAGUUGGUAAGGUAACGGCUUACCAAGGCAACGAUGCAUCGCCGACCUGAGAGGGUGAUCGGCCACACUGGAACUGAGACACGGUCCAGACUCCUACGGGAGGCAGCAGUAGGGAAUCUUCCGCAAUGGGCGAAAGCCUGACGGAGCAACGCCGCGUGAGUGAUGAAGGUCUUCGGAUCGUAAAACUCUGUUAUUAGGGAAGAACAUAUGUGUAAGUAACUGUGCACAUCUUGACGGUACCUAAUCAGAAAGCCACGGCUAACUACGUG